GAUGAACGCUGGCGGCGUGCCUAACACAUGCAAGUCGAGCGAUUCUCUUCGGAGAAGAGCGGUGGACGGGUGAGUAACGCGUGGGUAACCUGCCCUGUACACACGGAUAACAUACCGAAAGGUAUGCUAAUACGAGAUGAUAUAUUUUUAUUGCAUGAUAAAAAUAUCAAAGCUUUUGCGGUACAGGAUGGACCCGCGUCUGAUUAGCUAGUUGGUAAGGUAACGGCUUACCAAGGCGACGAUCAGUAACCGACCUGAGAGGGUGAUCGGCCACACUGGAACUGAGACACGGUCCAGAUUCCUACGGGAGGCAGCAGUGGGGAAUAUUGCACAAUGGGCGAAAGCCUGAUGCAGCAACGCCGCGUGAGCGAUGAAGGCCUUCGGGUCGUAAAGCUCUGUCCUCAAGGAAGAUAAUGACGGUACUUGAGGAGGAAGCCCCGGCUAACUACGUGCCAGCAGCCGCCGUAACAC
rnacentral:rRNA from 1 species